AGGUAUUGACUGUUCGGAAUGGUCUGGACUGAUCUGAAGGACCAAAAACCAUGAUUCAACUGCAAUAAAAGAUGCAACUUCAGGCACCAACUUCAGCUACUAAAGUGGAGUUUCCCUAACACAAAAUAGCGUUCGCAUCCAAACUCAGGAUUGAAAUCUUUGGAAAAAGCAAGAAUGAAGCGACAACACUAACUAACAUACUCACAGGGAAACAAGAUUGUUCCAAUCCAAAAAUGACAAUGAUUUUCAAGAAUUGA